rnacentral:rRNA from 1 species
UACGGAGGAUCCAAGCGUUAUCCGGAUUUAUUGGGUUUAAAGGGUGCGUAGGCGGCUUUAUAAGUCAGGGGUGAAAUACGGCAGCUCAACUGUCGCAGUGCCUUUGAUACUGUAGAGCUUGAAUGUGGUUGAAGAUGGCGGAAUGAGACAAGUAGCGGUGAAAUGCAUAGAUAUGUCUCAGAACUCCAAUUGCGAAGGCAGCUGUCUAAGUCAUUAUUGACGCUGAUGCACGAAAGCGUGGGGAUCGAACAGGAUUAGAUACCCUGGUAGUCCACGCCCUAAACGAUGAUAACUCGAUGUUAGCGAUAUACCGUUAGCGUCCUAGCGAAAGCGUUAAGUUAUCCACCUGGGGAGUACGCCCGCAAGGGUGAA